rnacentral:rRNA from 1 species
UGGGGAAUAUUGCACAAUGGGGGAAACCCUGAUGCAGCGACGCCGCGUGAGCGAUGAAGGCUUUCGAGUCGUAAAGCUCUGUCCUAUGGGAAGAUAAUGACGGUACCAUAGAAGAAAGCCCCGGCUAACUUCGUGCCAGCAGCCGCGGUAAUACGAAGGGGGCUAGCGUUGUUCGGAUUUACUGGGCGUAAAGCGCACGUAGGCGGACUUUUAAGUCAGGGGUGAAAUCCCGGGGCUCAACCCCGGAACUGCCUUUGAUACUGGAAGUCUUGAGUAUGGUAGAGGUGAGUGGAAUUCCGAGUGUAGAGGUGAAAUUCGUAGAUAUUCGGAGGAACACCAGUGGCGAAGGCGGCUCACUGGACCAUUACUGACGCUGAGGUGCGAAAGCGUGGGGAGCAAACAGG